rnacentral:tRNA from 1 species
GGGGAUUUAGCUCAGCGGUAGAGCACUUGCCUAGCAAGCGCAAGGCCCUGGGUUCGAACCCCAGCUCUG